GGACCUGACUGCUAUCGGAUUGAUACUAAGCCAUGCGAGUCAUUGUAGCAAUACAAGGCAUACGGCUCAGUAACGCGUAGUCAACCUAACCUAUGGACGGGAAUAACCUCGGGAAACUGAGAAUAAUGCCCGAUAGAACAUUAUGCCUGGAAUGGUUUAUGUUCCAAAUGAUUUAUCGCCGUAGGAUGGGACUGCGGCCUAUCAGUUUGUUGGUGAGGUAAUGGCCCACCAAGACUAUUACAGGUACGGGCUCUGAGAGGAGUAGCCCGGAGAUGGGUACUGAGACACGGACCCAGGCCCUAUGGGGCGCAGCAGGCGAGAAAACUUUGCAAUGUGCGAAAGCACGACAAGGUUAAUCCGAGUGGUUUCUGCUAAAGAAACCUUUUGUCAGUCCUAGAAACACUGAUGAAUAAGGGGUGGGCAAGUUCUGGUGC
rnacentral:rRNA from 1 species